UACGUAGGGUCCAAGCGUUAAUCGGAAUUACUGGGCGUAAAGCGUGCGCAGGCGGUUGUGUAAGUCAGAUGUGAAAUCCCCGGGCUCAACCUGGGAAUUGCAUUUGAGACUGCACGGCUAGAGUGUGUCAGAGGGGGGUAGAAUUCCACGUGUAGCAGUGAAAUGCGUAGAGAUGUGGAGGAAUACCGAUGGCGAAGGCAGCCCCCUGGGACAACACUGACGCUGAAGCACGAAAGCGUGGGGAGCAAACAGG
rnacentral:rRNA from 1 species